rnacentral:rRNA from 1 species
CCUACGGGGUGCUGCAGUAGGGAAUAUUGCUCAAUGGGGGAAACCCUGAAGCAGCAACGCCGCGUGGAGGAUGAAGGUUUUCGGAUUGUAAACUCCUUUUGUUAGAGAAGAUAAUGACGGUAUCUAACGAAUAAGCACCGGCUAACUCCGUGCCAGCAGCCGCGGUAAUACGGAGGGUGCAAGCGUUACUCGGAAUCACUGGGCGGAAAGAGCGCGUAGGCGGGAUAGCAAGUCAGAUGUGAAAUCCUAUGGCUUAACCAUAGAACUGCAUUUGAAACUGUUAUUCUAGAGUAUGGGAGAGGUAGGUGGAAUUCUUGGUGUAGGGGUAAAAUCCGUAGAGAUCAAGAGGAAUACUCAUUGCGAAGGCGACCUGCUAGAACAUAACUGACGCUGAUGCGCGAAAGCGUGGGGAGCAAACAGGAUUAGAUACCCCAGUAGUC